rnacentral:rRNA from 1 species
CCUACGGGUGGCAGCAGUGGGGAAUAUUGCACAAUGGGGGAAACCCUGAUGCAGCGACGCCGCGUGAGUGAAGAAGUAUUUCGGUAUGUAAAGCUCUAUCAGCAGGGAAGAAACUGACGGUACCUGACUAAGAAGCCCCGGCUAACUACGUGCCAGCAGCCGCGGUAAUACGUAGGGGGCAAGCGUUAUCCGGAUUUACUGGGGGGAAAGGGAGCGUAGACGGUGUUGCAGGUCAGAAGGGAAAGCCCGGGGUUCAACUCCGGGACUGCUUUUGAAACUGUGUGACUGGAGUGCAGGAGAGGUAAGCGGAAUUCCUGGUGUAGCGGUGAAAUGCGUAGAUAUCAGGAGGAACACCAGUGGCGAAGGCGGCUUACUGGACUGUAACUGACGUUGAGGCUCGAAAGCGUGGGGAGCAAACAGGAUUAGAUACCCCAGUAGUC